UCUUUCUGUUUUCUUGGCGAGCGUAGACAAUCGUGACGACGAGACCAGCGCGCUUUUCGUUCACGCUUGUGAAGAUAGUAUAUGAAGUUCUUGCGAAAGUGCUCACGCAGGUUGAGCAUUUAAAAAUGCAGCUAGCUGCACAAAGUGCAGUUCUGACAAGAAUUGAGCAUCACCUAAAUCAAGACACCACAGUUGAAAAUGCCAUGGAUUUAAAUGAAAUGCCCCUCUACCCUGCUACAACUGAGGAAGAAUUGAGGAUACUUGAAGCUAGUCUCGAAAACAGCGUCAUUUUUGCUGCACUGGUGAAAGAACUGGGCCAAAUUGGAGGUUGUGACAUAAGCACGACCACAAAAAUAGUAAUGAAGAGGCUUCUUCAUGACAGUGUAGCGGUACUGUAAAGCUAUACUGGAAGAAAAGGCAAACGACGGGCAGCGGAGCUCAAGAUUGUUCGUCUUGUAUUUGCUGCUGUACGUACAACAUGCAAGGCAACAGAUGCUGAGAUCAGCCACGUGAUUGGCGAUUGGUUACGCUUUGCCAAUGCAAGGCUUACUGCGUCCAAGGCAAGCAAAAACUUUACGUUUAUUAUUU